rnacentral:rRNA from 1 species
UGGGGAAUAUUGCACAAUGGGCGCAAGCCUGAUGCAGCCAUGCCGCGUGUGUGAAGAAGGCCUUCGGGUUGUAAAGCACUUUCAGCGAGGAGGAAGGUGGUGGACUUAAUACGUUCAUCAAUUGACGUUACUCGCAGAAGAAGCACCGGCUAACUCCGUGCCAGCAGCCGCGGUAAUACGGAGGGUGCAAGCGUUAAUCGGAAUUACUGGGCGUAAAGCGCACGCAGGCGGUUUGUUAAGUCAGAUGUGAAAUCCCCGGGCUCAACCUGGGAACUGCAUUUGAAACUGGCAAGCUAGAGUCUCGUAGAGGGGGGUAGAAUUCCAGGUGUAGCGGUGAAAUGCGUAGAGAUCUGGAGGAAUACCGGUGGCGAAGGCGGCCCCCUGGACGAAGACUGACGCUCAGGUGCGAAAGCGUGGGGAGCAAACAGGAUUAGAUACCCCUGGUAGUCCACGCUGUAAACGAUGUCGAUUUUGGAGGUUGUGCCCUUGAGGCGUGGCUUCCGGAGCUAACGCGUUAAAUCGACCGCCUGGGGAGUACGGCCGCAAGGUUAAAACUCAAAGGAAUUGACGGGGUCAUAGCUGUUUCCU